rnacentral:rRNA from 1 species
GGCGAACGCUGGCGGCGUGCUUAACACAUGCAAGUCGAACGGAAAGGCCCUGCUUUUGUGGGGUGCUCGAGUGGCGAACGGGUGAGUAACACGUGAGUAACCUGCCCUUGACUUUGGGAUAACUUCAGGAAACUGGGCUAAUACCGGAUAGGAGCUCCUGCUGCAUGGUGGGGGUUGGAAAGUUUCGGCGGUUGGGGAUGGACUCGCGGCUUAUCAGCUUGUUGGUGGGGUAGUGGCUUACCAAGGCUUUGACGGGUAGCCGGCCUGAGAGGGUGACCGGCCACAUUGGGACUGAGAUACGGCCCAGACUCCUACGGGAGGCAGCAGUGGGGAAUAUUGCACAAUGGGCGGAAGCCUGAUGCAGCAACGCCGCGUGCGGGAUGACGGCCUUCGGGUUGUAAACCGCUUUCGCCUGUGACGAAGCGUGAGUGACGGUAAUGGGUAAAGAAGCACCGGCUAACUACGUG